rnacentral:rRNA from 1 species
UACGUAGGUGGCAAGCGUUUGUCCGGAAUUAUUGGGCGUAAAGCGCGCGCAGGCGGUUCUUUUAAGUCUGAUGUGAAAGCCCACGGCUCAACCGUGGAGGGUCAUUGGAAACUGGAGAACUUGAGUACAGAAGAGGAAAGCGGAAUUCCACGUGUAGCGGUGAAAUGCGUAGAGAUGUGGAGGAACACCAGUGGCGAAGGCGGCUUUCUGGUCUGUAACUGACGCUGAGGCGCGAAAGCGUGGGGAGCAAACAGG